rnacentral:lncRNA from 1 species
AUGAUUACGUCUACCGUUUUGUCCUUUUCAGGGGGACAAAGACAAGAGUGGGAGAAAUGCAUUUUCAUAAAUGAAGGAGAAGUGGAGUCCAUAAUUAGCUCAGCUGUUCCGAAACUGCCUAUGACUUCAUGGACAGAGGAGAUUCUCCAAUGUGAACUGGUUGCAUUGAAGGCCACAAUUAACAGCCCUUUGCAAUGUGACCUUGCAGAUUCUUCCAUCAAGAAGUAAGUCUAUUUCCUUACUCCAUGACUCUGGAAUGACUUUCAUUGGCCUUCAGAAUGUGGCAGAAGUGACAUACGUGCUUCCGCUUUUUCUCUGGAAACCACCCACCAUGUCACUACCACGUUAGUAAACCUGGAUCACUUUGUGAUUAGCGCUUCAACAUAUGAAUUUUGGGGGAACACAAUUCGGUCCAUAUCAGUGUUAAAAAGGUCGUAUGGUUCAACCCCUGAGUAAGAUGUAUCUACAUCUAGAUUUUCAUAACAAAAG